rnacentral:rRNA from 1 species
UACGGGGGGAGCAAGCGUUGUUCGGAUUUACUGGGCGUAAAGGGCGCGUAGGCGGUCAGCACAAGUCAGUUGUGAAAUCUCCGGGCUUAACUCGGAAAGGUCAACUGAUACUGUGCGACUAGAGUGCGGAAGGGGCAACUGGAAUUCUCGGUGUAGCGGUGAAAUGCGUAGAGAUCGGGAGGAACACCGGUGGCGAAGGCGGGUCUCUGGGCAUUUCCUGACGCUGAGGCGCGAAAGCGUGGGGAGCAAACGGG